UACGUAGGGACCGAGCGUUGUCCGGAAUCAUUGGGCGUAAAGAGCGUGUAGGCGGCCACUUAAGUCCUGCGUGAAAUCUUGCGGCUCAACCGCAAGCGGUCGUGGGAAACUGGGUGGCUAGAGUGCGGGAGAGGAGAGUGGAAUUCCUGGUGUAGCGGUGGAAUGCGCAGAUAUCAGGAAGAACACCCGUGGCGAAGGCGGCUCUCUGGAACGCAACUGACGCUGAGACGCGAAAGCGUGGGGGAGCAAACAGG
rnacentral:rRNA from 1 species